UACAGAGGUCUCAACCGUUGUUCGGAUUCAUUGGGCGUAAAGGGUGCGUAGGCGGUCGGGUAAGUCGGAUGUGAAAUCCCAGGGCUCAACCCUGGAACUGCAUUCGAUACUGCCUGGCUAGGGUACUGGAGAGGAGACUGGAAUUUACGGUGUAGCAGUGAAAUGCGUAGAUAUCGUAAGGAAGACCAGUGGCGAAGGCGAGUCUCUGGACAGUUACCGACGCUGAGGCACGAAGGUCAGGGGAGCAAACGGG
rnacentral:rRNA from 1 species